GAGCCAUCCAGGCCUGCUAUAUAAUAAGCAGGCUUCCUGAAAAACAGUCCUUUCUGGCAGUAAAACUAAAUCUUUUAAUCUUGGAAACUCUCCUAUGGACCAGGUGCAGAAAAGCAUGCAAAUUUUAAAAAUGUUACUUUCAUUUUUUAUCCCUUCACUGUGAGCAAGGCAGCAAGAAAGGCAUGCUCUCUGUUGUCUUGCGUAUGAAUAUGAAAAUAUCCUCUAUGUGCCAAGUACAUCUCUGAUGUCUGGGUCCAAAUAUCCUGCUCACCUCAGCCUUCCCUUUGGACUGUAAGUUCCUUGAAGCAACAACUGCAGUGGACAGCUGAUGUCUUGGCCUACUGAGUGUCUACUUCCUCUUCUUCUGGAAAUAGCACCUUAGUUACUCGAGAGAACUUUCUCUCCCACUUUGCAUUCAGGCUAAGUAGCAUCCCAAUUAAGAUAUUCCACUCUAUUCUACCUGGAGGAGGUCACAGGGUUCAAAUCAGGCUACCCAGACUCUCUCUCUCUGUUCUGAGAAUUUUAGUUUUGAGCAGUCUCUCUAGAAUGGAAACGGAAACCCUUGAUUCCUCUCAAGGGAGUUUUCUGAAGAGAAGGCAGGAAAUCCCGCUGCCUGCCUUCAAGCUGCCUGCUUCCCGUCCUUUAUGAAGCCUGGUUGGGUAGCUCUACCUUAGAUUCUGUGAGCUGCCCUGUAUUUUUCCAAUAAAUCUCUUUCUUUUGUCCCAGUUGGCCAAAAUUUGUUGUUGUUUCCUGACGAAAUGUCCUGAUAUAGGCUCCAUCUUCUAGCGCCCAUUUAUAUGUCAUGAUGGCUUGCAGCAUGUUGAAAGCAUAGUGAAGGUUGUUGCCUACAGUUCAGAAAGUUCUAGAAUUCAAAGGGAUAUCACGGAUGUGAAUUAAACCAAAUUAUAUUCUUCCUUAUACCACUUCAUUUCUCCCAAGAGUUGUAGAAAUUUGUGAAUUUAAAAUGGAGAGUUAGGGGCCAACGCCACAGCCGAGUGGUUAAGUUUGCGCACUCCACUUCAGCGGCCCAGGGU